rnacentral:rRNA from 1 species
GCAAGCGUUGUCCGGAAUUAUUGGGCGUAAAGAGCUCGUAGGCGGUUUGUCGCGUCUGCUGUGAAAACCUGAGGCUCAACCUCGGGCUUGCAGUGGGUACGGGCAGACCAGAGUGCGGUAGGGGUGACUGGAAUUCCUGGUGUAGCGGUGGAAUGCGCAGAUAUCAGGAGGAACACCGAUGGCGAAGGCAGGUCACUGGGCCGCAACUGACGCUGAGGAGCGAAAGCAUGGGGAGCGAACAGG